AUUUAUUCAAAUCAGAACUUGAAAGUACCAUGUUAGUGAAUUUGUAUACGAAAUGGCUAUUAUAUUGAGAUAAAAAAUAUGCCAGCCCCCCUUCACAUGAUGUGACUAUGUGUUUAGGCCGUAGGUUUAUACUCUGAAGUGAUUUUGACGUGUAUAGAAAGUUUGGGGUUAGAUAUUCCAAUUUUUUUUAAGAUAGAUGAAAUUUCUCUAAGUGUGAUCCAUGUGCCUAGUUCAAAAAGAAUAAUAGUGUACGGUAAGAGAAUAUGGUCAGAUGAUCAGGAAAGUUGGAUAAACCUUAUGCUUCACUUUAGUUAUUCAAACCAGAGAAAAAAAAAUGAUGCUAAUAGGUAGUUAUUAAAAGAAUAGUAAAUAAGCUUUGAGUAAAUACCGUAAAUUAGCAAUUUCAGCAGAGCUAGUAGAGGUAAGAUUUGAUUUACUUAGCCGAGUUAACUCUAGUGAUUGGAUGAUAGUUUGAAAUAUCGAACAUAUGUUAGAAUCCAAAGAGUUUAAGUUAAACCCGAAGUACA
rnacentral:lncRNA from 1 species